GUUUUAAUAGUUUAAUAAAAAUUUUGAUUUUGUAAAUCAAAGAUAAGAAAUUUCUUUUAAAACU
rnacentral:tRNA from 1 species